UGGGGAAUUUUGGACAAUGGGGGAAACCCUGAUCCAGCCAUCCCGCGUGUGCGAUGAAGGCCUUCGGGUUGUAAAGCACUUUUGGCAGGAAAGAAACGUCGCGGGGUUAAUACCCCGCGAACAUGACGGUACCUGCAGAAUAAGCACCGGCUAACUACGUGCCAGCAGCCGCGGUAAUACGUAGGGUGCAAGCGUUAAUCGGAAUUACUGGGCGUAAAGCGUGCGCAGGCGGUUCGGAAAGAAAGAUUGUGAAAUCCCAAGAGCUUAACUUUGGAACUGCAUUUUUAAACUACCGGGCUAGAGUGUGUCAGAGGGAGGUGGAAUUCCGGCGUGUAGCAGUGAAAUGCGUAGAUAUGCGGAGGAACACCGAUGGCGAAAGGCAGCCUCCCUGGGGAUAAACACUGACGCUCAUGCACGAAAAGCGUGGGGAGCAAAACAGGAUUAGAUACCCUGGUAGUCCACGCCCCUAAAACGAUGUCAAACUAGCUGUUGGGGGCCUUCGGGCCUUGGUAAGCGCAAGCUAAACGNGUGAAAGUUGACCGCCUGGGGAGUACGGUCGCAAGAUUAAAAAACUCAAAAUGAAAUUGACGGGGGUCAUAGCUG
rnacentral:rRNA from 1 species